rnacentral:tRNA from 7 species
UGGGGGAUGAUGUAGCGGUAGCAUAGGUGACUCUGGAUCACCUCGCCUAGGUUCGAAUCCUGGUCCCCCAGCCA